rnacentral:rRNA from 1 species
UACGUAGGGUGCUAGCGUUGUCCGGAUUUAUUGGGCGUAAAGGGUGCGUAGGCGGCCUAUUAAGUCAGGGGUGAAAGACGGUAGCUUAACUAUCGCAGUGCCUUUGAUACUGAUGGGCUUGAAUGUACUUGAGGUAGGCGGAAUGUGACAAGUAGCGGUGAAAUGCAUAGAUAUGUCACAGAACACCAAUUGCGAAGGCAGCUUACUAAAGUAUGAUUGACGCUGAGGCACGAAAGCGUGGGGAUCAAACAGG